rnacentral:rRNA from 1 species
UGGGUGGGGCCGAAAGGAGAUUAGUGUGUAAGUAGAUUGCGGGAAGUGUGAGUUUUGGUUAAAUAAGGGGGGUGGUAUCGGGUAUGGUAUUUUGAUGAGUUGGAGGAAUAUUUAGAGCAUGUUUUUGGUGUAGAUGGGGUAAGGUGUGGGGGGGGGAAGGGGUGGGAAGGUUGUACGGAUAUGGGGGUGAUGGUGAUGCGGUGUCGUAUGGGGUGUGAGUCUGCGGGAUGUAUAUAUGUAAGGGAUAGCGGUUAUGGCCUUAUAGGUGGAUUGGUAGGGAUGAGUGUAAUUAUAGUAGGGGGUUGGAGGAAUUUGCCGAUAGGGAGACAGUAGUAACAGGUAGUGCGAUGGUAAGGGGUAGGUCUUUGUAUUCGCAAGAUGAUGGUUUAGGUACCGCAAGGAGGGGCAGCCCUUAAGAAUCAGUGGCCAGCAUUCAGUUGGGCAAUCGGGUGAGACUGCCGGUGGCAAACCGGAGGAAGGUGGGGGUGAAGUCAAAUCAUCAUGCCCCUUAUGACCUGGGCUACACACGUGCUACAAUGGACGGUACAACGAGUUGCGAAGUCGUGAGGCUAAGCUAAUCUCUUAAAGCCGUUCUCAGUUCGGAUUGUAGGCUGCAACUCGCCUACAUGAAGUUGGAAUCGCUAGUAAUCGCGGAUCAGCAUGCCGCGGUGAAUACGUUCCCGGGCCUUGUACACACCGCCCGUCACACCAUGAGAGUUUGAACACCCAAAGCCGGUGAGAUAACCUUCGGGAGUCAGCCGUCUAAGGGGGACAGAGAUUAGGGGAGUCGACAGAGCGGCAA